UACGGGGGGGGGCAAGCGUUGUUCGGAAUUACUGGGCGUAAAGGGCUCGUAGGCGGCCAACUAAGUCAGACGUGAAAUCCCUCAGCUUAACUGGGGAACUGCGUCUGAUACUGGAUGGCUUGGAUUUGGGAGAGGGAUGCGGAAUUCCAGGUGUAGCGGUGAAAUGCGUAGAUAUCUGGAGGAACACCGGUGGCGAAGGCGGCAUCCUGGACCAAUAUUGACGCUGAGGAGCGAAAGCCAGGGGAGCAAACGGG
rnacentral:rRNA from 1 species